UACGGGGGGAGCAAGCGUUGUCCGGAUUUAUUGGGCGUAAAGGGCUCGUAGGCGGUUUGUCGCGUCGGGAGUGAAAACCUUGGGCUUAACUCAGGGCUUGCUUUCGAUACGGGCAGACUAGAGGUAUGCAGGGGAGAACGGAAUUCCUGGUGUAGCGGUGAAAUGCGCAGAUAUCAGGAGGAACACCGGUGGCGAAGGCGGUUCUCUGGGCAUGAUCUGACGCUGAGGAGCGAAAGUGUGGGGAGCGAACAGG
rnacentral:rRNA from 1 species